CUAUCGGCUCAAGCCGAUGGAAGUUUGAGGCAAUAACAGGUCUGUGAUGCCCUUAGAUGUUCUGGGCCGCACGCGCGCUACACUGACAGAGCCAACGAGUUCAUUUCCUUAGCCGAAAGGUUUGGGUAAUCUUGUUAAACUCUGUCGUGCUGGGGAUAGAGCAUUGCAAUUAUUGCUCUUCAACGAGGAAUGCCUAGUAAGCGCAUGUCAUCAGCAUGCGUUGAUUACGUCCCUGCCCUUUGUACACACCGCCCGUCGCUACUACCGAUUGAAUGGCUCGGUGAGGCCUUCGGACUGGCCCAGGGAGGUCGGCAACGACCACCCAGGGCCGGAAAGUUGGUCAAACCCGGUCAUUUAGAGGAAGUAAAAGUCGUAACAAGGUCUCCGUAGGUGAACCUGCGGAGGGAUCAUUACAAGUGACCCCGGUCUUACCACCGGGAUGUUCAUAACCCUUUGUUGUCCGACUCUGUUGCCUCCGGGGCGACCCUGCCUUCGGGCGGGGGCUCCGGGUGGACACUUCAAACUCUUGCGUAACUUUGCAGUCUGAGUAAACUUAAUUAAUAAAUUAAAACUUUUAACAACGGAUCUCUUGGUUCUGGCAUCGAUGAAGAACGCAGCGAAAUGCGAUAAGUAAUGUGAAUUGCAGAAUUCAGUGAAUCAUCGAAUCUUUGAACGCACAUUGCGCCCCCUGGUAUUCCGGGGGGCAUGCCUGUUCGAGCGUCAUUUCACCACUCAAGCCUCGCUUGGUAUUGGGCAACGCGGUCCGCCGCGUGCCUCAAAUCGACCGGCUGGGUCUUCUGUCCCCUAAGCGUUGUGGAAACUAUUCGCUAAAGGGUGUUCGGGAGGCUACGCCGUAAAACAACCCCAUUUCUAAGGUUGACCUCGGAUCAGGUAGGGAUACCCGCUGAACUUAAGCAUAUCAAUAAGCGGAGGAAAAGAAACCAACAGGGAUUGCUCUAGUAACGGCGAGUGAAGCAGCAAUAGCUCAAAUUUGAAAUCUGGCGUCUUCGACGUCCGAGUUGUAAUUUGUAGAGGAUGCUUCUGAGUAACCACCGACCUAAGUUCCUUGGAACAGGACGUCAUAGAGGGUGAGAAUCCCGUAUGCGGUCGGAAAGGUGCUCUAUACGUAGCUCCUUCGACGAGUCGAGUUGUUUGGGAAUGCAGCUCUAAAUGGGAGGUAAAUUUCUUCUAAAGCUAAAUAUUGGCCAGAGACCGAUAGCGCACAAGUAGAGUGAUCGAAAGAUGAAAAGCACUUUGGAAAGAGAGUUAAAAAGCACGUGAAAUUGUUAAAAGGGAAGGGAUUGCAACCAGACUUGCUCGCGGU
rnacentral:rRNA from 1 species